GGUGGCUCAGCGGUAGAGCGCUUGCUUUGCGUGCAUGAGGCUCUGGGUUCGAUUCCUCAGCACCA
rnacentral:tRNA from 1 species